rnacentral:tRNA from 1 species
GCCUCGAUGGCUCAGUUGGUUUUAGAGCACGUCCUUGGUAAGGACGAGAUCCCGAGUUCGACUCUCGGUCGAGGCU